GCCCCUUCCCUACUUCAACUACUACUAUCAGAAGGCGGCUGUGCCCAUACAAGCAGCAAAAAACGUGAGACAAAUCAGUGAAGGAAGUGGACCAAAAAUCAAUGGCUUCCACUGGCUUGCCAGGAGGACGGAGGUUGCUGUCGGAGAGGAAGCCACUGCUCCAGUUGGCUUCAAUGCUGCUGAAGAAAAUUAAGGACAGUAAAAAGGAUGAUAAUUCAGCUCCAGAGAAUCAGGCCACUGGCAAUCACUCUAGGAAGGUUACUGUUAUGGAGUCAAUUGUUACUUUUGACGUUAGAUAUUUCCCACUGAAUCAUAUCAUAAUUAAAAUAAGAUGCCGAUUUUCAUUGAU